rnacentral:rRNA from 1 species
CUACGGGGGGCACCAGUGAGGAAUAUUGCACAAUGGGGGGAACCCUGAUGCAGCAACGCCGCGUGGAGGAUGACGCAUUUCGGUGUGUAAACUCCUUUUAUAUGUCAAGAAAAUGACGGUAGCAUAUGAAUAAGCACCGGCUAACUCCGUGCCAGCAGCCGCGGUAAUACGGAGGGUGCAAGCGUUACUCGGAAUCACUGGGCGUAAAGGACGCGUAGGCGGGUUGGAAAGUCAGGUGUGAAAUCCUACAGCUUAACUGUAGAACUGCACUUGAAACUUCUAACCUAGAGUAUGGGAGGGGAAGAUGGAAUUAGUGGUGUAGGGGUAAAAUCCGUAGAUAUCACUAGGAAUACCAAAAGCGAAGGCGAUCUUCUGGAACAAUACUGACGCUAAGGCGUGAAAGCGUGGGGAGCAAACAGGAUUAGAUACCCUAGUAGUC